CACUGCCAAAAAUCAGUCCCACCAGACCUCACUGUAAUUCAAGGUACUCUUCCAACUAAUUCUAUUUCUAAUUCCUUAGAUCUAGAUCUACCUAUUGCGAAACGCAAAGGUGUUAGAUUUACUUCUAAAUAUCCUAUGUCUAUGUUUGUGUCCUACAAAAAGUUGUCUCCUAGUUAUUCAGCCUUUACUUCACAACUCUCUAGUGUGGAGAUUCCAACAAAUGUGCAUGAUGCUCUACAAGUUCCCGAGUGGAAGGAGGCUAUUUUGGAGGAAUUGCGAGCUCUUGAAACAAAUGAGACAUGGGAGUUAGUGGAUUUACCCGAGGGAAAGAAACCAGUGGGUUGUAAAUGGGUGUUCACCACCAAACUCAAAUCAGACGGAUCCUUGGAAAGGUAUAAGGCCCGCCUAGUAGCUAAGGGAUUCACGCAGACAUAUGCUAUUGACUAUCUCGAGACGUUUGCUCCAGUAGCUAAGCUAAACUCAAUUAGAGUUCUGUUGACAAUCGCAGUAAAUCUCGACUGGUCUCUUUAGCAAUUGGAUAUGAAGAAUGUUUUCUUGAACGGGCACCUAGAGGAAGAAGUCUAUAUGGAUCCCCCACCAGGUUUUGAUGGGAAGUACAAGUCAAAGAUAUGUAGGCUUAGAAGAUCUCUUUAUGGUCUAAAACAAUCUCCAAGGGCUUGGUUCGAAAGGUUUACUCAAUUUGUGAAAAAGCAAGGGUAUGUGCAGGGACAAGCAGAUCACACAAUGUUUACUCGACAUUCACUGGAAGGAAAACAACCGUUCUUAUAGUGUAUGUUGACGAUAUUAUCCUCACAGGAGAUGAUGUGGUUGAGAUAAAAAAUCUAAGGGAACGCCUUGCCUUAGAAUUUGAGAUAAAGGACUUAGGCCCGCUAAAGUACUUUCUUGGCAUGGAGGUUGCACGAUCGAAGAAAGGAAUUAUAGUGUCACAAAGGAAGUAUGUUCUUGAUCUGUUAAAAGAAACAGGAAUGAGUGGUUGUAGACCAAUUGAAACUCCAAUUGAUCCAAAUCUGAAAUUUGUAAAGGAAGGAAAAUUGAUUUAUAAGGGCCAAUAUCAGAGAUUGGUAGGCAAGUUGAUUUACUUGUCACAUACUAGACCUGAUAUUUCCUUUGUUGUGAGCCUAGUCAGUCAGUUCAUGCAUUCUCCACGAGAAGAACACCAAGAAGUUGUGUAUCUAAUCCUAAGGUAUCUAAAAAGUUCACCUGGGAAAGGGUUGUUCUUCAAGAAGAAUGAGCAAAGAAGUCUUGAGGCUUAUACGGAUGCAGAUUGGGCUGGUUCAUCUAUUGAUAGGAGGUCUACAUCUGGAUAUUGUACAUUUGUUUGGGAAAUUUGGUGACAUGGAGAAGUAAGAAGCAAAAUGUGGUGGCUCGAAGUAGUGCUGAGGCUGAGUAUCGAUCCAUGGCACACGGAAUUUGUGAAAUAUUGUGGCUCAAGAGAUUUUUGGAAGAACUAAGAAGACCUGUGAGUUUUCCAAUGAAGUUGUAUUGUGACAAUAAGGCUGCCAUAAGCAUUGCUCAUAAUCCAGUUCAACAUAAUAGAACAAAGCAUGUUGAAGUGGACAGACACUUCAUUGAAGAGAAGAUUGAAGAUGGAAGUGUGUGCAUUCCUUUUGUGCCAACAACAGAACAAGUUGCAGAUAUUUUCACAAAAGGUCUUUUCAGAACUACUUUUGAGUCCUUUGUGAGCAAGUUAGGCAUGUUUGAUAUUUACAUGCCAACUUGAGGGGGAGUGUUGAAUGAGUAGGCAGAUUUAGUCAUAAUCUGCUCCACCAUUGAGCUGGCAGAUUUGAUUAGAAUCUGCUCCACAAAUAAAGCUGGCAGAUUUGAUUAGAAUCUGCUCCACAAAUAAAGCUGGCAGAUUUGAUUAGAAUCUGCUCCACAAAUAAAGCUGGCAGAUUUGAUUAGAAUCUGCUCCACAAAUAAAGCUGGCAGAUUUGAUUAGAAUCUGCUCCACAAAUAAAGCUGGCAGAUUUGAUUAGAAUCUGCUCCACAAAUAAAGCUGGCAGAUUUGAUUAGAAUCUGCUCCACAAAUAAAGCUGGCAGAUUUGAUUAGAAUCUGCUCCACAAAUAAAGCUGGCAGAUUUGAUUAGAAUCUGCUCCACAAAUAAAGCUGGCAGAUUUGAUGAGAAUCUGCUCAUGUGAAUAUGGGAUUAGAAUAUAUUAUUCUAGGAAAAUAGUUUAGAGGAAAUCCCUUGAUUCAAGGAUUUCCUAAGAAUUAGGGAUUGAUUAGUUUAAUUGGUCUUUACUUGUUCUCUUAUAAAUAUUGUACAAACACUAUGAAUAAAAUAUACUUUUGCAGUAUCUAAACUUUCAGUUAUCAUCGUCUAUCAUCACCCAAUUAUGCCUCUGUAUCGUCUUUGUCCUCUAUCUCCAUUUCUAAGACUACAGGUGAAGCACUUUCUCAUUCUGGAUGGAGGCAGGCUAUGGUUGAUGAGAUGUCUGUUUUGCAUAAGAGUGGUACUUGGGAGCUUGUCUCUCUUCCUGCAGGUAAAUCUACCGUUGGUUGUCGUUGGGUUUAUGCAGUCAAAAUUGAUCUAGACGGUCAGGUUGAUCGGCUCAAGGCUCGCCUUGUUGGCAAAGGGUAUACUCAGAUAUUUGGGCUAGAUUAUAGUGACACUUUUGCCCCUGUGGCUAAAAUAGCAUAUGUUCGUCUUUUUCUAUCUAUGGUUGUCAUUCGUCAUUGGUCUCUUCAUCAGUUGAACAUUAAGAAUGCUUUUUUGCAUGAUGAUCUUGAGGAGGAAGUCUAUAUGGAGCAACCACCUGGUUUUGUUGCUCAGGGGGAGUCUAGUAGCCUUGUAUGUCGAUUGCGUAGGUCACUUUAUGGUCUGAAGCAGUCUCCUAGAGCUUGGUUUGGGAAGUUCAGCACAGUUAUUCAACAAUUUGGCAUGACUCAUAGUGGAGCUGAUCACUCUGUGUUUUAUCGACAUUCUGCAACAAAUCGAUGUAUCUAUUUGGUUGUGUACGUUGAUGAUAUUGUUAUUACUGGUAAUGAUCAAGAUGGUAUCACCAAAUUGAAGCAGCAUCUCUUUAAGCACUUCCAAACUAAAGACCUUGGCUAAAGACCUUGGCAGAUUGAAGUAUUUUCUCGGUAUUGAGGUUGCUCAGUCUAGAUCAGGUAUUGUUAUAUCUCAACGCAAGUAUGCCUUAGACAUUCUUGAGAAGACGGGAAUGAUGGGAUGUAGACCUAUUGACACUCCUAUGGAUCCUUCUAGGACAGGGGGAGCCACUUAGUAAUCCUGAAAGGUAUAGACGACUCGUUGGAAAAUUGAAUUAUCUCACAGUAACUAGACCUGACAUCUCUUUUCCUGUGAGUGUUGUAAGUCAGUUUAUGACUUCGCCUUGUAAUAGUCAUUGGGAUGCAGUUGUUCGUAUCCUGCGAUAUAUAAAGUCAGCUCCUGGUAAAGGACUACUCCAUGAGGAUCGAGGCCAUGAGCAUAUCACUGGAUAUACAGACGCUGAUUGGGCAAGAUCACCCUCUGAUAGACGUUUGACAUCCGGAUAUUGUGUUUUAGUAGGAGGUAAUUUGGUGUCGUGGAAAAGUAAGAAACAAAGUGUGGUUGCUCGAUCUAGUGCAGAAUCAGAAUAUCGAGCAAUGGCGACAGCAACUUGUGAGCUAGUUUGGAUCAAACAGUUGCUGGGAGAACUAAAAUUUGGCAAAGUUGAUCAGAUGGAACUUGUGUGUGAUAAUCAAGCGGCUCUUCAUAUCGCAUCAAAUCCAAUAUUUCAUGAAAACACUAAGAACAUUAAGAUUGACUAUCACUUUGUCAGAGAAAAGAUACUCUCAGGAGAUAUUGUUACGAAAUUUGUGAAGUCAAAUGAUCAGCUUGCAGAUAUCUUCACCAAGUCCCUCACAGGUCCUCGUAUUAAUUACAUUUGUAACAAGCUAGGUACAUAUGAUUUGUAUGCACCGGCUUGAGGGGGAGUGUUAGAAUAGAAAUAUGUAUAUAUAUUCCUACUUAGAAUAUGAAGAAGAAUAGAAAUAGGAAUCCUAAUUAGAAAAGGAUUUCAAUGUAUUGUCUAUAAAUAGGGUCUCAAUGUAACAAUUUAGAUACACAAUUCAAUAUUAUUUUUCCCAUAUAUUUCUCACAGAUAAUAUAGCCGAUUCUUAGGGAUUUGAAUAUUUAGUUACCAUAGUUAGCUUAUACUCUCCAUGUAUUAAUAUCAUUGUUCUCUUUGAGUAAUAUACAAAUUAUUCUCAAUAUCUUAUGAAUUACAUGGUAUCAGAGCCAAUGUUGAGUUGGUAUUUUUUCUUUGCCAGAAGUCACUAUGACUUCGCCAGAAUCCACUGUGGCUUCACCGGAAGUGAUUGAGAUUUCCAAAAUCUCUGUCACCACCCACUUAGCUACUUCCCACCAUCUUAAACUCCUAGAUCUCGGCAGCUGGAAGUCACUCGUGUGAGAGUCACGCUCCACUAUUACCCUUUCCGGUGAGACUGCAGUAGUGAUGCUGCAUCAGAUUUGGUGGUUGUUUGUUCAACAGACCACUACGAUUUGGGAGACUUGCUUGUUUCUGACCAAUAAUCGGGUGGUCUCUCUGUGUCGGGCAACUCCUGGUAGUGUUUUGACAUUUUUUUCCUAGGGAUUUCUGCUAAUAUUUGAUGUUUCGAGUUCACUCAUGUCGUACAAUUUUUACUGGCAUUGGGAUUUUGUUGUAGCAUCAUCAAGUUUUGCUCUUCAAUCAACACUUCUACUUGGCUAUUUAUUUGAUGAUUUUCUGAUUUUUCAGGAGCUAUUUUUGGGUCUCUGAUUUGUUGGAUAGCUAGCCUUGAGUGGAAUUGGUGUGGGGAAGAACUGUUACUUUGAUUAUUGAUCCAAAAUAGGUUACUGUCUAUCUUGGGUAUUGUCUAAUUUUAAGAUAUAAUCUGGUUGGACUAGUUGGUUUCUCCAUCAAUUCAUUUUGGUAUAGUAAGUAUUUUUGUUGGGAAAAUGACCGACUGUAAUUAGAGAACUCAAAGGUCUAAAGUUGUCCAUCAAUUCAUUUUGGUAUAGUAAGUAUUUUUGUUGGGAAAAUGACCGACUAUAAUUAGAGAAUUCAAAGGUCUAAAGUUGUUGGUGCUUGUAGUCCAUUAUCUAACAAAAUGGUCCUAAUUUCGGCAGAGGAGUUUAUUAAAUUCUCUCAAUACCAUAAAUUCUUGAAGGAUCCACUUAAGUUAAUUCCUUUGUUGAAUCAAAUGAAACAUAUCUUAUCACCUCUUCAAAUAAACGGGAUUUUGAUUCGGGUGCCACAAAUCACAUGACAGGUAAUCAUAAUAUUUUUCUUGCUUUCAAGCACACAGAGCACCCUCUCUGAUUACCAAAGCUGAUGGAUCAACUUGCAACAGUGUUGGAUAUGGGACGGUUAGACUAAUCUUUUCUAUUACUCUAUCAUUUGUAUUAAGUCUACCAAAGUUGGCCUUUAAUUUAUUUUUGUUAGCCAAGUUACUAAGUUACUGGAGACUUUAAUUGUUAUAUUUCAUUCUUUCCCAAUCAUUGUUUGUUUCGCGAUCAUAAGACGAAUCAGGUUAUUGGUAAAGGACAUGUAUUUAACAAUCUCUACUUCCUUGAUGAAUGGGAGCCUAGAUUUGUUGCCUGCUCUACUGUUGUGUCUCUAUAUGAAGCACAUUAUCGGUUGAGACAUCUUUCUCUACCACUAUUAAAGAAGUAAUGUCCUCAAUUUCAUAAUACUUCUUCAUUAGAAUAUGAGUCAUGUCACCCCCAAGGCCUAGCUCAAAUGGCAAAAGGUGGAGGAUUUGUGGCUUAGGUCACAGGUUCAAGCCCCACACCAUGCAAAGCGAAGCCCGGUAUUUAAGUGGAGAAGGGUAGUGGGGCGGGCCCAUUAUCUCCGGAGUUUAGAAGGCUGUGAUUGGUCCAAAGGGCGGGUCACAGACGGAUUUCUCGGUUAUCAAAAAAAAAAGAAUGUGAGUCAUGUCGAUUUGCAAAACGUCAUCGCAACUCAUUAAGUCCAAGGGUUAAUAAGCAGGUCAGCUUUUGAGUUAGUUCAUUCUAAUAUUUGGGGACCAUAUCCUGUCAUUUCCAAAUUUGGGCAUAAGUAUGUUGUUACUUUUGUGGAUGACUUGGAUUUCUUCUAUGCAGAUCUGCUCGAAAGUGUUUACUCACUUUUGUGCCUUCUGUGUUGAAGUCAAAAUACAAUUCAAUGCUUUGGUACGUAUUCUAAGGAGUGACAAUUCAUAUGAGACAACAGGCAUUCUCCAUCAGUCUUCAUACGUCGAUACACCUUCUCAAAAUGGAGUUGCUGAGAGGAAGAAUAGGCACUUACUUGAGACAGCUCGAGCUCUUUUAUUCCAAAUGAAGGUUCCUAAACAACUUUGGGCAGAUGUGAUCUCUCCAACUUGUUUUUUGAUUAAGUGCAUGCAAUCUAUUGUGUUUGGAAGCACAUGUUAUGUUCGAGAUGUUCGACCAUCUGUUACCAAGUUGAAUGCAAAAGCAUUGAAGUGUGUUUUUCUGGGCUAUUCUCACCUUCAAAAGGGGUAUUGAUGUUAUUCUACCAAACUUAGCAAAUAUUUGGUGUCAACUAAUGUGGUAUUUUCAGAGACUACCCCGUUCUUCUAUGCACCUCCUUUUUCUACAAGUCAAGGAGAGAAAAAUGAGUGGUUAGUCUAUCAGGUCACUCAUGUUUUGACAAAAGAAUCAGAUGUUGUCCCUCCAUCUCUCAAUUUUUCUAUUAAGGACCAAUCGACUAUUGUUUCAGAAGCUCCUUCUCCAUUUGAUGUGGCAAGACCGCCAAUUGUUCAAGUUUACUCGAAGAGGCGAGGGGUUGAUGAUACAUGUCUUGCACCAAUUCCUUUGUCAUUAGAUCCUCAUUCAUCUGAUCCUCCACAAGAUCUUGACCUCCCUAUUGCUCUUCGCAAAGGUACACAUAGUUUCAAAUCCUGGUAUUCCAUUAGUAAUUUGUUUCCUAUGGCCACUUAUCCUCUAUGUCUAGAUCUUUGAUUGAUUACUUCUCUAGACUCUAUUUCUAUACCCAAAAGGCCUUGAAUCAUUCUGGAUGGUCUGAUGCAAUGCUUGACGAAAUACAUGCCUUAGAAGAAAAUCACAUGUGGGAUUUAGUGGAUUAACCCAAGGGAAAGAAAUUAGUGGGAUGUAAUUGGGUCUUCAUAGUGAAAGUUAAGAUGGAACUAUAGCAAGACUUAAAGUUAGACUUGUAGCUGAAGGGUAUGCUCAAACAUAUGGGGAAGAUUAUUCACACAUUCUCCCCAGUUGCCAAGGUCAUUUAUGUCCGCUUAUUCAUUUCUCUAGUUGCUUCUGAGAAUUGGCCUUUACAUAAGUUAGAUAUUUUUUUAUUUUUUUUCGAUGACCUAGAAAUCCGUCUGUGACCUGCCCUUUGGACCAAUCACAGUCUUCUAAACUCGGUGGAUAAUGGACCCGCCCCUCUACCCUUCUCCACUUAAAUACCAGGCUUCGCUUUGCAUGGUGUGGGGCUUGAACCUGCGACCUAAGCCACAAAUCCUCCAUUUUUUGCCACUUGAGCUAGGCUUGGGGGCCAUAAGUUAGAUAUUAAGAAUGCAUUCUUUCAUGGUGGUCUUCGAGAAGAUGUGUAUAUGGAGCAAAACCACCUGGUUUUAUUGCUCAGGGGGAGUAUGGGGAGUCUGUCAUAUGAAGAAGUCCUUGUAUGGAUUGAAGCAGAGUCCUCGAGCUUGGUUUGGAAAGUUCAAUAAGGUAGUUCAGAAUUUUGGGAUGAAAAUGAGCAAAUGUAAUCACUCGUUCUUUUACCAACAACCAACAUCUGGCACUAUCCUCCUUGUUGUAUAUGUUGAUGACAUUGUCAUCACAGUAAGUGAUUAUGUGGGAAUCUCUUCCCUCAAAUCUUUCUUGCAUACUAGGUUUCAUACAAAUGACUUGGGUCCGUCGAAAUACUUUUUGAGAGUAGAAGUAAACAGAAGCAAGAAGAGAAUUCUUCUGUCUUAGAGAAGUAUAUCCUUGACCUGCUUGCAGAUAUCAGAAAGUUAGCAGCCAAACCCUGUAGUACUCCAAUGGUUCCCAAUGUGCAUUUUAUGAAAGAUGAUGGUGAUUCUUUUGAUGAUCUCGAGAGAUAUAGAAGGUUAGUUGGGAAGUUAAACUACCUUAUUGUGACUCGUCCAGAUAUUGCUUUUGCGAUAAGUGUUGUUAGCCAAUUCGUGUCUGCACCUACGAUCAAACAUUAGGAAGCUUUGGAACAGAUCCUAUGUUACUUAAAAGGAGCUCCUAGACUUGGCAUAUUGUAUAGCAAUCACGAUCAUACUCGUGUGGAGUGUUUUGGAGAUGCUGGACUUGGCAUAUUGUAUAGCAAUCACGGUCAUACUCGUGUGGAGUGUUUUGCAGAUGCUGACUAGGCUGGAUCCAAAAUUGAUAGAAGAUCUACUACAGUCUAUUGUGUUUUUGUUGGAGGGAACCUAGUAUCAUAAAGGAGUAAGAAUUAAGGUAUUGUAUCUCGAUCCAAUGCACAAUCUGAAUAUAGAGCUAUGUUACAGUCUAUAUGUGGAUACAUCAUCUUUUAUCUGAAAUUGGGUUGAAACAUCAUACCCUAGCAUAACUCUAGUGUGAUAAUCAAGCUUCUCUUCAUAUUACCUCAAAUCCGGUGUAUCGCGAAAGAACUAAACAUAUUGAAGUUGAUUGUUGUUUUAUUCGUGAGAAGAUUCAGGAGAAUUUGAUUUCCUUUGGCUAUGUGAAGACAAGAGACCAACUAACUGAUUUGUUUACAAAAGCGUUGAAUGGAACUCGAGUUGAUUACCUUUGUAACAAGCUGGGCAUGAUCAAUAUCUAUGUUCCAGCUUGAGGGGGAGUGCUACAGAAUCUGUAUAAUAAUGAAUAUAGAUAAUAUAGUUGAUUUUAGGGAUUUGAAUAUUUCGUUACCAUAGUUGGCUUAUUCUCUCCAUGUAUUUAUAUCAUUGUUCUCUUUGAGUAAUGUACAAGUUAUUCUCAAUACCAUACGAAUUAUAUGGAAUUUUCACAACACAUGUGUUUGGCCUAAUCAACAUUGAAUUCACAUUUUCAAUUCAUUAGACAAAAGUUCAACAUGUCACACACGUUGUCCAUUCUAACCAAUGGAAAAUUGAUAAUUUAAUCAUCUUCUUGAUUAAAGUAGGUGUCUCAUCAUAAAUGUUAGAACAUGAAUAGGUUUAUACAAUCCUAUUAGAAUAGAAAUAGGUUUAUACAAUCCUAUUUAGAAUAAGAAUAGGAAUAGUAAAUAGUAUUAGUAGGUAAAGGUUUGUAUUCUACUGUCUAUAAAUAUGAUCUCAAUGUAAUAAUGUACACACAACAGCAAUUCAAUAAUAUUCUUCUCUUAUAUUUCUCACAUGGUAUCAGAGCCUCUACGAUCUUGGUAGAGAAUCAAAGAGCUUUCGCAGCCGACGGGUGGCUAUUACCCAUAUAUGUUGUCCGUCUGGCCAAUGAUUAUGUUAACAAAAGUAGGAUCAAUGAUAUAUGCAUGAACAUAUUCAAGGGAAGAAAACUCAGUUAAACAGGUCACCGUGCGUCAAUUUCCGGUGAUUUUCUAGGACUGUUUUAUGUCCACCCCAUAUCUGUCGGUAUUUGUGUAGCACUGUGCCAUCUUUUCGGUGACUAAUUUUUCAUAUUUAAUUUGUGUAGCACCGUUCCAUCUUUCUGGUGACUACCUUUUUUUGCAUAUUUGAUUUGUGUAGCACCGUGCAUCUCUCUGGACUACUUUUCAUAUUUAAUUUGUGUAGUAUCGUGGAUUUUUCCGAACUACUUUCUCACAUCUAAGUUGCAUAGCACCGUGUGUCUUUUCAGUGACUCCUAAGAUUUGAUUUAUUUGAUUUGCAUAGUUCCAUUCGUCUUUCCGGUGACUCCUCAAAUCUGAUUUCUGUAGGGUUGUGCCAUCACUCUGACCCUACCCAUAUUAUUUCUCUUUUCCAAUAGGGUCGUGCCAUCAAUCCGACCUUUCCUAAAUAAUUUCUAUUUUCUAGUUGGGUCGUGCCAUUAUUCCGACCCUACCCAUAUAAUUUUAUUUCUUAGAUUAUGACCACUUUCAGCCAUCAAAUCUAAUACUCCGGCGUAUGAGCAUGUUUCGGCCAAUUUUUGGUGACUUUCUUGUUUAAUAUAGACUCAUCUAUUGAUUCCAACACGAUAUAUAUACUUUACUUUAUACUAGAUUUUGAGCACUUUGUUGCUCGGGGGAAUUUAGUGCCUUGUAUGUCGAUUAUGUGAGUCACUCUAUGGUCUGAAACAGUCUUUGCAAGUUUAGUUUGGGAAGUUCAACACUGUAAUUUUAUCACUCUGUGUUUUAUUGACAUUAUGCAUCAAAUUUAGUAUUUCAUGAGAAAAUUAAGCACAUUGAGAUUGACUGACAUUAUGCGUCAAAUCCAAUAUUUAAUGAGAAGACAAGCACAUUGAGAUUGACGGUCAAAUUUGUGAAGUCGGCUGAUCAACUUGCAGAUAUCUCACCAAGCUCUUCAUUGGUCCUCGUAUUAAUUACAUUUGUAACAAGCUACGUACAUGAAUUGUAUGCACUAGCUUGAGGGGGAGUGUUAGAAUAUGAAUAGGUUUAUACAAUUCUAUUAGAAUAGGAAUAGNNNNNNNNNNNNNNNNNNNNNNNNNNNNNNNNNNNNNNNNNNNNNNNNNNNNNNNNNNNNNNNNNNNNNNNNNNNNNNNNNNNNNNNNNNNNNNNNNNNNNNNNNNNNNNNNNNNNNNNNNNNNNNNNNNNNNNNNNNNNNNNNNNNNNNNNNNNNNNNNNNUUUAUACAAUCCUAUUAGAAUAGGAAUAGAUUUAUACAAUCCUAUUAGAAUAGGAAUAGAUUUAUACAAUCCUAUUAGAAUAGGAAUAGAUUUAUACAAUCCUAUUAGAAUAGGAAUAGAUUUAUACAAUCCUAUUAGAAUAGGAAUAGAUUUAUACAAUCCUAUUAGAAUAGGAAUAGAUUUAUACAAUCCUAUUAGAAUAGGAAUAGAUUUAUACAAUCCUAUUAGAAUAGGAAUAGAUUUAUACAAUCCUAUUAGAAUAGGAAUAGGUUUAUACAAUCCUAUUUAGAAUAGGAAUAAGAAUACAAAUAGGAAUAGGAAUAGUAAAUAGUAUCCUACUUGGUAAAAGAUUGUAUUCUAGUGUCUAUAAAUAGGAUCUCAAUGUAAUAAUAUAGACACAACAACAAUUCAAUAAUAUUUUUCCCUUGUAUUUCUCACAGUAAAGAAAGAAAGGGUAAAAAUAGGACCAUUGUAUACCGUUUCCCAAAUCCAAAAAGAGGAUAUGGAUAAGAAUUUGUAAAAAUCAUUAGACAUGAGUUCAACAUGUCACCCCCGUUCUUCAUUCUAAAUAUAGAUAAGAAAACGUUGAAAUUCCCCUAAGACCAUUUCAGUCAAUUUGACAAGUGUUCUAGUGAUUUCCAUCCAUAACUUUGUGAAUGCUCUUCUGGAACCAGUGGUUGUAUGGAAGUGGUCAAAACUUCACCACUUAACAGUUGAAUAACCUAGCUUAGUAGUGUCACUGAUUGAUUUGGUACUCUUGCUGUGUAAGGUGACUGCCAGUAAAAAAGACAAUAUUGCCACCCAGUAACAACUGAUAUGAUCCAUAGGAGAUAAAAAUCCUGAACAUGAGCAAGAAAAUAACCUAAAGCCCGACAGAAUCACUAGAAGCACACACUUGUAAGAAGAAAAUCCUUAUUUCAGAAGCAUCAACUAGCAGGACUGAGAAAUAUAGGCAGGAUAAAAAAUAGUCUAAUUGUACAAUGAUAAGAAAUAGCUGUAUAAAUAUGACAUUAGAUCACAGUUUACAAGAAGCAUAGUCCAUAUUAACUAUGUAUUAUCUGCAUACAUAAAAGUUAAACAUGAAGCUGCUCUUCAAGGCUUCUUUAUGGUCUCCAGGAUCCCCAGGUAGCUUAGUAUGACUAGGUUCAUUUAAAAUUCCAGAUGCUUUAAGAGUGUCUAUAGUAGAGCAUGGGUUAUCCAGGUAGCUUAGCAUGAAUAAGUUCAGUUAAAUAUUUUAGAUGUUUUAUGAGUCUAUAAUAUUUAUUUAGAAGAUUCAUAAGUGAGAGUCUCAGCAGAGCAUUCUCAAUAAGAACUAGAAAACAUACUAGAUGCAGAUACCCAAGGGCAGCAAAACUUAACCAUUGCAAACAGUGAAAAUAAGGAUAAGAGCUUUCAGUCUCUUCAGUCAUUAGCUAAAAAGUUAGAAAAAAAUUAUUCUGGGCGAGGCACACAUACUGUCAGUUGUGUGAGGCCUCUUUUGGCUGCCACAUGUAUACUGUGGGACCCAUAAUGUACUUAUUUCCUUACUUUUUCUUUUCCAAUUUUAAUCUUUUCUUUUACUUUUUCUUUCUUACCAGCAUUUUCUUUUUUGUUUGUUAAUUCUUAGUGUAAAUUUUAUUUUUUAUUUUUUGUUUUAAUAAAGAAACUUUGAAACUCACCCCACGGUAUCUAUUAUAUAUUUUAUAAAUCUAUUACUAUUUAUUUUGUAGGGGAAAUUAAAGUAAUAUGUCGAAAAAUUAAAUUUAUUUAUUUUUGGAUGAAUUCAAGAAAAAUUGAGGAUAGUGAAUUUAAAAAAAAUUGAAAAUUUCUUCAAUAAAGUAAAAAUUCAUGUAAUCAACCAAUUGAACUACUAAAAUUCAAUCGGCAUUAUUUAUUAUACUUAAAUAUAUAAUUUAAUUUUAAUUAUUUAAAUUUUAGUCUCUUUUAUUUUGAGAUUUCAAUUUUAAUCACUCAAUUCUUAGUUAUCAAAUAUGUUUUUUUUAUUUUUGUUUAUGCUUAAUAUUAAUAAUAAUGUAUUAAUGAUAUCAAACACUCAAUUAUCUUUUCUUUUCCAGAUUUGUUAAAUUUUCCACUUCUAUGGCAUGUAUCCAAUAAAUAUUGCCAAUAUUGAUUUUGUGUUUCUCGUUAAAGAUUUUUUUUUAUGUUUAGUAUCUUAAAAUGUGAAACGAAACUUUUAUAGAUUCAUUUUUUUCUUGUGGGUUACGAAAAUUAAUAGAAAAAAGAGUCAACCAAAUGAAUUUGUGAAAGCACAAAAUAAAUAAUUGCAUGAAUAUAUUUAUUUUCACUAAAGGUAGGACUACAAAAAAAAAAAAAAAGGCAGUAAAAAUAUUGGUAAAGAAAAGGGUAAAAUUUGAGAAAAUGGAAGUGAGGGAGAGACAGUGUGACAAUAAGAGGGACCCACAGAAAACACAUGUCAAAAGGAAAUGGUGCCCUCACACAACUAUUGUUGGUUGUGCCUCAACCACCAUAAAAUUUUUCAACAAGUUAAUCUAAGAUGACUUGAAAAUUGUAAGGAUCCAGGUAAAAUAAUGUCAGACCUUGAUAAAAAUGCAGGUUAUUAAAGCCGCUGAAUAUAUUAGUUGGCUAUUUGAGCAUAUGAUUACCCAAAAGUUGGUUUUCUAUCAAUUGAAGAUUCGUUGGAAGAGUCGGUUCUUUUGGGGAAAUAAGAAGCCUUGCCUUUGUGCCAGACAGUGAUAACAGGGUAAUAAAUGCUAAUGAAAGAACACACCACGAGUUCCUUUCAGAGAACUAGGAGGUGGAGCUGACCUUCAAAUGCAAGAAUGUAAAAGCCUACAAUGAUGCUAGUGCCAAGAACACAAGUUGGAGUUUCAUGGUCAAUGAUCUGCUACUAUGACCUUUUCUAUAAGCAACUCGAGUAAGAGCAUAGAUGAGUUGAAGAUGGAGUUUUGUUUGGUUAUAGUUUAUGAAAACAAUAUUUGGUUGGUUGAAUAUCCUUUUCAUAAAAAUACAUCAAAUAUUAAUUUUAAUGGGGUCAUUUUUACAAAAUAAAAAAUUGAGGGUAAAAUUUGAAAAAGAAAAAUAUAUUUGUUAGAAUAGGAAUAUGAAUUAGUAUAUAGAAUCCUACUUGGUUCUCACAUGGUAUCAAAGCAUCAGUGAGAAAAUAUAUGUAGUGCAAUAUUCUAGCGAAGUUCCAGGAGAAAAAUCACCACCAUGCAUAAUUUUUCCGGUGGCUGCUCAGUGCUCACAUCACAAUCUUUAUCUAGUAGUGUUGUGCAAAAUCCGACACUACCACAGCAUAGAUCACGUUCAGUCGAGAAAACCCUAGUUUGUCGCUCCAAGAAAACAAUCCCCCAUGUGGUCUCACGCGCUUCUCGAAGGUCCUACACCUGCGUGUGAGAAAUCUUUUGGCCACUUAUCUAUCAGAUUUCUUUUUCCAGUAGGUCAUCCGUCAUUCCGACCAUACUCAUAUAAUUUUCCAAAUCACUUUGUGCCUGUCAGAUCUAAUUUUGCAGUGACACAAAUAAGUCUUUACCAGAUUCCAACAACGACUUAUAUUUCUUUUCAGAAUUUAGGUUACAAAAUUCUAAUUUCACAAGUUGUCUUAGAGACUCCUAGCAUUACCGUCUCAUCCAUGUUGGACACUUGGAGCAUGUCAUAGUUCAAGCUUGUCCAACCACAAGCUAUUUUCAAAAUGAAAUAGGAUUCCUCCUCUAACAUGCUAGAAAUUUAGAGCAUAGCAUAUGAAAUCCUUAAUGUACUUCCACAUAAUGGCACCUAUUUGCGUCUCAAACGAUUGCAGUUUGUAAUUGCCUCUUUAUCUCUUUUAACUACUCAUAAUUGUUGAUGUAUAAUAACCCUUUCUCCAUGUCGACAUACAGUCAUCUCCACCAAAGCAUAGGGAUAUCCUUUAGGAGCAUUGAUGUAAGGUUGACUAUUGCAAGAUUAAACUAUGUUUCAAUUCAAGUGCUAAAUUGGUUAUAUAAGAUCAUAAUUACUAAAUAGAAAUAAUUUAUUAAAAUAACAUAUGAUUAUUAGUAAUCUAAUUGUAGUGUGUAAGUCAAAAGACAUACUUAAAAUUGCAAAAUUAUUUUUAUAUUACAAAAAUUAACUUUGUGACUUCAAUGCAAUGAAUUAAAAGUUAAAUGAACAUUUCUAUGAAAUUAACCACUUGGAUUAUUCAAAUACUAAAGAAAGAGAUUAACUACUUGUCCAAUAUUACUUCUGAUUAAAGAAGGCAAUCAAAUAGAUGUUCCUCUAACGCUAGAAAGAGAGCUCAAAAAUGAGGUCAUCAUAGAUCCACCCCCUCCCUCCGUCUUUCCAAUUAAAGAGAACAAAGAAGAAAAGGCACAAAUAUUUGCAUCCAAUCAUAUAAACAUACACUUCUUUUAAUGUGGGGAUAAUGUAAAGAAGAGGAACAUAAAAUGAUAGAUGGGAACUCCAUUAAUGUGGAAGGAGUGGUGGAGACAAAUUAAACAAUGGAGUCAAACUAAUUGAAAUUACAUGUGAAGAAAAAGAAAAAAAGGACUAAGUGAGGCAACGAAACAACUUAAGGUUUAAAAGGAAUAUGCAAAGGUCCUGAUCUUUUCGAACCAAAAAUGUGUGCUCGAUCUAGAGCUCGUAGACUACUAUCGCAUGCUCAUAAACCAAGUUUAACAUUUAGAGCUGUCAAUAUGGGCUGGCCCACCCCAUCCGAGCUAACCCAUACAGGCUUUGAAAUUUGACGGGUCAGGCCAGGCUAGCCCAUUUUUGGUGUGGGCCAGAAAAUGGUCGGCCCAGCCCACAAGUACGUGGGCUACGGGCUUGCCGGGCCAGCCCUCUUUUCGUAAAAAUAUAUUUUUUAUAAUUUUUUAAAUUAAAUUAUAAUUUAAAAUAUUAUCAUAAAUAUUGACAAGAUAAUAUUACAUGGUGUUAGUGUUACUACUUGUUAAUUAAAUCCACAAAUAAAAUUAUCUUUAUAAUAUUUAUUAAGUUUGAUUUCAAGUAAAAGCAUAAAUAGCUAAAUAAAAAUCUAAACCUAAUUGUGUUCCAAUAAUCAUAAUAAAACACAAAAAACUAUGACAAUAUUCCAUAGGCUACGGCCUAUGUAGUGAUUCCUAGAAAUUUUAGGGUAUUUUUAUUUUACGUAAUACGUAUUUUAUAAACAUAAUUUGUAUUUAAAUUGUAAUAUUUCAAACUUUAAACUGAUCUUGAGUUUAGACUCUUGUUAAUUUUAAUACUCUAUUUUAUUUUUUAUUUUUUAAUUAAUUUUUAUUUGGCCCACGGGCCGGCCCUAUCCAUAUUUCUCAAUUCCCACAAAUCGGCAGGCUUAUUCAGGCCAGGCUAAAAAGUCCUUUCUUAAAUGGCUCCAAAAAUCGCAGCCUAGCCCUAUCAAAUCCCGGGUUAGGCCAGACCGGCCCAACGGUCCUAGCCCAUAUUGACGGCUCUAUUUAACAUCCAAUGGUAGUAAUAUAAAGCAACAAUUUAUCCCCAAGUUUUGGAAGACAUACAAUAACAGGUCUUCCAAGGAAGAAGAUGUUGAGUAUUUGUUGGGCACACAAUUGGUUGCUCCCAAUUGAAUUUUAUAUAGCAAAGUAAAGAACUCCUUCGAUUUUAUAAUUCUUACACUCAAUUUUUCAUGCACUCACACUCGAGCAAACUCUCUAUGUUACUCUCUCUUAUUUCUCACUUGAUCAUUCCUUACUUGAGCUCAACCUAUUUGAGCGCACACUCUUUAUUUGGGUACACCUUAUUGAGCAUACACACAUCUCAAAUGAACCACCUCUAUUUAUAAGUGGUGAUGGAAGAAUUUAGUUAAGGAUAUUUACUACUCUAUUCUAGAAUGUUUCUCCAACUAUUUAAUUCUAAAACGACUCUUUCUAUAAUAUUUCUAGACUUCUGUGAGGAAUACUCAUUCUAGAGAUCCUUCUUCAAUUCUUCUACAACUAUUGAAUAAUCUAGAUUUUUCUUUGAAAUAUCUUAAAUAUUAAUUAAGUUGGUGAUAAAUACUUAACACUACCCCUCAAUGCCAACUUAAUGUGUUAUGUGUGUUCGUCAUGAGCGAUCCCUGAAACUCUACAAGCAACAUGAUGUCCAUGCCCUUUCAAAAUCUCAAUCUCUGCCGGAUUACUCUGAUCCCUAUGCUUUAAAGCUUUUUCAAAGGUAGUAGACUAUUCGAUCUUGACCACCUCAACUAAUUUUUGUUGCAUAUGUAUAUUUGUCGUUUGGGCAUUUCAGUCGUGUCGAUCUUCUUAGUUGAGGUUGUAGAGCUUAUUGGACUCCUUACAACUCUUGAGGGGUUUCAUGUACUCUAGUUUGCCAUGGGAUCUUAUUUUAUCCUUUUGAAGAUAGCUCUUUUGUAUGUGAUUUGUAUUUUCCCUAUACCUUCUUCAAGUUAAUGUUGUAACUCUUGCUCUAGUUCUCUUGAAUCUGGUACGACUGAUUUGUACCACCAUGUUGGUGCUUCAUCAAAUACCACAUAAGGUAUUUCAGCUGGUAUGCCAUAGAUUUACUCUAAUCUUCUUCUCUAGAUGAUUGACGUGCUUGUGACUUUCAAAUUUUGAUAUACUUUAUGUCAUUUGGCCCAAACAAGACAACUUCCUGAAUUUGUUAGUUGUGACACAGAUAUAAGUUCGUCAUAGACAUGAUAGAUAUUUUGAAGUUCCACUUGUCUCGGGCUAUGACGAAGCACAAACACGUCUUACCAAUAUUAUAAGUUAUUGGCAUUUUUGAAUUACUUGUAGUCACCACUACUUACCACCUUUAUAUUCGCUCAUGUCGAUAAGCUUUUCACAUCACUUGUCAUAUGAUUGGAGCAUCACAAAUUAAUGAUUCAAUCAUAUGCUCAUAACUGAUAAGUUUAUCAUUUACAGUUGCAAGAUCUAGCUUCCUUUCUUCGUUAGAGUGAGAGGUGAGAAGCUCUUACGGUUGAUUUAUUUCCGGUAUUCCCAUUCCCUUGGCCGUGAGCUUCUCUUCAUCCCCUUUUUCAGUAGCAUUGCCUUUUGCUGAAGAGUGCCUUAUCUUCAUUUUUUUAAUAAGAACACUUGAUAAUGGUUUCUCCAAAGUCUUCUUCAUUUACCAAUAAAUUUUCCAACACAGAUAAAGUUGGUUCGCUGGCCAAACCAGCGUGUGGCCGUAAUUAUGUCUCUAUACUCCAAGUUUAGACAUGAACCAUGAUUCUCCUCAUCCUUGUCUCUCUGAUAGUAUUCUUUGGAUCUAAUUUUGAUAUUUCAUUAGAUAAACAUUUUACCUUUGAGAAGUAUUGUUUGAUCUUCAUCAUCCGUUGUGAGAUCGACAAAACUCAUUUUCAAGUUGUAAUCGCGCAUCAUUUUUAUCAGAUGAGAUCGUCGUCAAAGUUGCUACCUCAUUCUUUACCCACUCGACUUUAAUACCACUUGUUGAGAAUUGUUGGGCUCAUAACUUGAAUUUCAUUAUGUCAUUGCAAAGUAAGGAUCCACUUCGGUCUUACAAUUCUUUUUUUUUUUAUGACAAGGGAAACCCGCAGCCGCUACCCUUUGGGGGCGCACAGGAUAAAACCCCCGCUCCUAUGUAAUAGCUCGCAAACCACAUAGGAGAGGUAAUCCGCACUAGGCAAGCCCGAUGCGACGAGCUCGACCCAGAAGGCAAACCCCUUGCUUUCGCUGGCAAGGGAUUUCGAACUUGAGAUCUCCAACAUGGAAGUCUCAAGCCCAAACCAUUGGGCCACCCCGAAGGGUUCGGUCUUACAAUUCUUACCCUGUAUUUUUCUUGCACUCACACUCAAGCAACUCUCCUUUGUUGCUCUAUUUUAUUUUUAUCUUGAUCACUCACUUUCUUGUUUAUUUACUUGCUUGAACACUCAAUUUUUACUCGAGUUCAACUCAUUUACGCACUCUCUCUUUACUGAGUAAACCUUGUUGAGCACACACACCUCAAAUGAGCCACUUCUAUUUAUAUGUAGUAAUGGAAGAUUCUAUUUAUAGGUGGUGAUGGGAGAAUCUAGUUAAAGGAUGUUUACUAUUUUAUUCUAGAAUGUACCAACUAUUUAUUUCUACAAUAUUUUUAGACUCAGAGAAUACUCAUACUAGAGAUUUUUUCUUCAAUUCUCUAACACUCUUGAAUAUUUUAGAUUCUUCUUUAAAAUAUAUAUUAAUUAAGUUGGUGAUGAAUACUUACACGGUAGAUUCAUCAAAUUCCUUUCAUCCUUUAUAUCUUAUUGGACAUGCUCUACUAUCCCUAUAGGGCUUCCAAAUCUACAACAAAGAUGCACCCUUAUUCCUAACUUUGCUCUCUUUAGAAACAACCAGAUUAAAGAGUCCAUUCAUAAUUUUCAUGUACUAUGGUAGUAAAAUUUCAACUUUGAUGUGGUUAAUGGGUAUUUCAGUAUUGGUGUCCACAAUAGCAGAGGCGGACCCACCUUUACUAGUGGGGUGCAUGAGCACCCGUUAACUUCGAAAAAAAUCAUGUGUAUAUAUGUAUAUCUAUUUUGAGAAACUACGAUAUAAUUAACAAUGCACCCAUGAGGAGCAUAGGGGUGUUCUUGUGCUGCUUGUACAAGGCAGAGAACCACCGGGUUCGAAUCCAGCUAGAGUGCUAAAUUCAUUCGCCUCUGCACAACAGUAUAUUAUGACAUGCAGUAAACUCUCUACCCAUGUGAAACAUGCUCAAAGGCAAAGAAGACUUUUCUGAAUUCUGAGGCGUGAGGUAGAGCAUGAAAUAAAGACUUAUAUUCCAAUUAAAAUACGUACAAUGUUUUAGACACUGCGUAUGACAUAGGCGUCUGCGUUAGCUUAUAUAGCUUGACUUUAAUCCGAUAGGAAAAAACUGCUUUUGCAAAUAUCUAGGACUCAAAAAGUAUUAGUAUUAUCAUUAUAAUACUUUGUUCGUUAUAUUUUUCUUUUUUAAGUAUGUUAUAAUAAUAAAAAAAGUUUCCAUUAAAGGAUUUAGUGCUUUUUAAAACAUUACAUAUAUAUUUAUAAGGCUAAUUCAAAAAUCAAACUAACACGAGGAAGUAUUAUAAUAGAAAAAUCAAGCAUAUCAGUAUUUUGAAGUAAAAAAAAUAAAAAUAAAGAAGAACCUGUUGGUACUGGAGAAUUCAAAGAGGCGUCCACGGCUGGAGAAGACGAGGACGGCGACAUCAACAUCGCAGAGAAUAGAGAGCUGUUUGGCUUUCUUCAUGAGUCCAUUUCUUCGUUUGGAGAAAGUUGCUUGCCUACUGCUCUUAUCUUCAAUUCGCUUUAUUUCCACUUUCUUCCUUCCCAUUUCUUCAAACUCCCAAACCCUAACUAAUUCUCACAAAUGAAAAUGGCCGUAUAUAAGAAGCUUUGUACCUCCAUCUCCAUCACUUUCACGAAUUUCAUAAAGUGCUAUGAGUUUUAUGGUCUCUCCUCCUUUUUCGAAUCGUCGCAAUAAAGCCUUAAUUUCAUGUUUACUUAUAAUUCCCACGCCUAUUCGUCUUCUACUCUUUAGACCUCUAAUUCUAUUUAUUUUUUUACAGGGGUAACUAGGUGAAUAUAUAUAAAAUAGGGAAAAGUUACAUGUGUGAAAUCCAGCCAAUGAGAGAGCGACACCUGGCUCAAAAUGGAGAUUCCAACGGCGGAGGCGACUGCUAGCGGUGAUGGCGGCGUGGUGUUGUUAAAGAUAUAAGCGGUGAUUGGCUGAAGAAAACGGUGACACAGACUGGGUUGUUUUGAUUUGAAUUAGAAACUAGUAAAAUUAUCCGUACAGAAAUUUAUUAUCAUGAAAUUUCUAAAAUAAUACUUAAAAGGAAAAAUUCUUUUGGCCAGAAAAUUUGGCCAUAAUGGCCCAAAUACAUGUUCACACUAUAAAUUGAUUUAUUUUUUGAUAA
rnacentral:lncRNA from 1 species